CCAGCCUUCAGUGCAGAUGGAUCUGGUCCCCGUGCCCACAAUGGACAGCACACUGCUGCAGCAAGCCCAGAGGAGGUGACAAAGUUGGCAAGACUUCCAAAGCACUGAAGGUCACGGAAUAAGCCGGGCAUUUAAAAAUAUCCACCUGGCCAAAAGGACAAAUGAACCCAUAUGGUGGAGCCUUCAGCAAAGAUGGCUGGAACAAAACAAACAAAACAAUCCUGAAUUCAUGUUGUCCAUCAGACCUAGCUCAGCUGUUUGCCCCAGAAAAACAUGGGUGCUCCACACGCCUUCCUUCCAUUCCCUCCUGUGCUGCCAGUGCAGGGAGAGGCCAAUUAAUUAUGGUGUUUGUUCUGCUACCAAUAAAGU